rnacentral:misc_RNA from 1 species
GAAAUGCGAUAAGUAAUGUGAAUUGCAGAAUUCAGUGAAUCAUCGAGUCUUCGAACGCACAUUGCGCCCCCUGGUAUUCCGGGGGGCAUGCCUGUCCGAGCGUCAUUGCUGCCCUCAAGCCCGGCUUGUGUGUUGGGUCGCCGUCCCCUCCUUCCCGGGGGGGACGGGCCCGAAAGGCAGCGGCGACUUCGCGUCCGGUCCUCGAGCGUAUGGGGCUUCGUCACUCCGCUCUGGUAGGAACGGCCGACAGUCUGCCGACUCUCCAACCUUCUUUUUUCCAGGUUGACCUCGGAUCAGGUAGGGAUACCCGCUGAACUUAA